UGGGGAAUAUUGCACAAUGGAGGAAACUCUGAUGCAGCGACGCCGCGUGAAUGAUGAAGGCCUUCGGGUUGUAAAGUUCUGUCCUUGGGGAAGAUAAUGACGGUACCCAAGGAGGAAGCCCCGGCUAACUACGUGCCAGCAGCCGCGGUAAUACGUAGGGGGCGAGCGUUGUCCGGAAUUAUUGGGCGUAAAGGGUUCGCAGGCGGUCUGAUAAGUCAGAUGUGAAAGGCGUAGGCCCAACCUACGUAAGCAUUUGAAACUGUCAGACUUGAGUUAAGGAGAGGAAAGUGGAAUUCCUAGUGUAGCGGUGAAAUGCGUAGAUAUUAGGAGGAAUACCAGUGGCGAAGGCGACUUUCUGGACUUAUACUGACGCUGAGGAACGAAAGCGUGGGGAGCAAACA
rnacentral:rRNA from 1 species